GAUCUGCUGACAAGGCCCUAAAGGGUCCCUCCCCUCCAGGGCUGCACCAUGCUUAAAGUUACCACCCAAGCCACUGGGCUGCCAGUCUCUUCACCUCUGCCCUUUGUCCCUGACCAGGAGGUGGCACCUGUCUCCAGGUCCCAGUGGGGUGGCCUCCCUGGGGUUCCUCUGUUCACCUGCCCAGUUCAGAGGACUAACUAGCUGGCAAGGAGGACAGCCCAGCACCACCCAGGAGGCCAGAGCUACAAGCCUUCUAGCGGCACCAGGAGGAGUCAUUUCCUGAGGGGGUCAGUGGGAGUUAAAGGAAACAGAAUCGGGGACCAAAAGACCACUCUGGUGCGCCCCAAAGAGAAGCCUGGGAUACUCUCCAGGAGGUGGCCCGCCCGCCUUCUUUCCAGUAACCAUAGCGUGGGGAGCCUUUUAGACCCCUUCCCGAACCGGGCUGCCCAGCCAGCACGGUUGGCUUUGGGGGACACUUCGGAAAAACCGGGUGAGUCCGACACCCGCCUUGCUAGGGCCCGAUGUUCCUCCCCCGCCCCACCUCCCGGCGCGGUGGCGCAGAUCUCUGCUGCUGGGCGCGGGGCGGCCUGGCACCGGGAAGGGCGGGGGUCCGAGCCCCCAGGCAGGGAACAGGGAGGCGUGCGGGUCGCAGCCCCCUCCGGGGCGGGCCUUCGCGUCCCGCCCCCGGCCUCCGAC
ensembl:lncRNA